rnacentral:rRNA from 1 species
GACGAACGCUGGCGGCGUGCCUAAUACAUGCAAGUUGAGCGCUGAAGGUUGGUACUUGUACCAACUGGAUGAGCAGCGAACGGGUGAGUAACGCGUGGGGAAUCUGCCUUUGAGCGGGGGACAACAUUUGGAAACGAAUGCUAAUACCGCAUAAAAACUUUAAACACAAGUUUUAAGUUUGAAAGAUGCAAUUGCAUCACUCAAAGAUGAUCCCGCGUUGUAUUAGCUAGUUGGUGAGGUAAAGGCUCACCAAGGCGAUGAUACAUAGCCGACCUGAGAGGGUGAUCGGCCACAUUGGGACUGAGACACGGCCCAAACCCCUACGGGAGGCAGCCGGAGGGAAUCUUCGGCAAUGGACGAAAGUCUGACCGAGCAACGCCGCGGGAGUGAAGAAGGGUUUCGGAUCGUAAAACUCGGUUGGUAGAGAAGAACGUUGGUGAGAGUGGAAAGCUCAUCAAGUGACGGUAACUACCCAGAAAGGGACGGCUAACUACGUG